CCUACGGGUGGCUGCAGUGAGGAAUAUUGGUCAAUGGCCGGAAGGCUGAACCAGCCAUGCCGCGUGAAUGUCAGUGCCCUAUGGGCGUUAAACUUCUUUUGUGCGGGAGCAAUAAUGGUCACGUGUGGCCAGACGAGAGUACCGUACGAAUAAGCAUCGGCUAACUCCGUUCCAGGAGCCGCGGUAAUACGGGUGAUGCAAGCGUUAACGGGAUUCAGUGGGUUUAAAGGGUGCGUAGGCUGUGAGGUAAGUCAGCGGUGGAAUUCCCCCGCUCAACGGGGUGAAGUGCCAUUGAUACUGGCUUGCUGGAAUGCGGAAGCGGUGGGAGGAAUGUGUGGUGUAGCGGUGAAAUGCAUAGAGAUCACACAGAACACCGAUUGCGAAGGCAUCUCACGAAUCAGAGAUUGACGCUGAUGCACGAAAGCGUGGGUAUCAAACAGGAUUAGAUACCCCUGUAGUC
rnacentral:rRNA from 1 species